rnacentral:rRNA from 1 species
UGGGGAAUCUUGCACAAUGGGCGAAAGCCUGAUGCAGCAACGCCGCGUGCGGGAAGACAGCCCUAGGGUUGUAAACCGCUUUCAGCAGGGAAGAAACUGACGGUACCUGCAGAAGAAGAUGCGGCCAACUACGUGCCAGCAGCCGCGGUGACACGUAGGCAUCAAGCGUUAUCCGGAUUUAUUGGGCGUAAAGAGCUCGUAGGCGGUUCGGUAAGUCGGGUGUGAAAACUCUGGGCUCAACCCAGAGAGGCCACUCGAUACUGCUGUGACUAGAGUGCGGUAGGGGAGCGGGGAAUUUCCUGGUGUAGCGGUGAAAUGCGCAGAUAUCAGGAGGAACACCAGUGGCGAAGGCGCCGCUCUGGGCCGUAACUGACGCUGAGGAGCGAAAGCAUGGGUAGCAAACAGGAUUAGAUACCCUGGUAGUCCAUGCCGUAAACGUUGGGCACUAGGUGUGGGUCUCAACCAACGAGAUCCGCGCCGUCGC